CCCCUAGAUGUUCUGGGCCGCACGCGCGCUACACUGACGAAUGCAACGAGCUUAUAACCUUGGCCGAAAGGUCUGGGUAAUCUCCAAAUUUCGUCGUGAUGGGGAUAGAUUAUUGCAAUUAUUAAUCUUCAACGAGGAAUGCCUAGUAAGCGCAAGUCAUCAGCUUGCGUUGAUUACGUCCCUGCCCUUUGUACACACCGCCCGUCGCUCCUACCGAUUGAAUGGUCCGGUGAAAUCUCGGGACGGCGGCUUGGUCGCUUGCGUCCGACUGCUGAAACUUGAUUAAACCAUAUCAUUUAGAGGAAGGUGAAGUCGUAACA
rnacentral:rRNA from 1 species